rnacentral:snRNA from 1 species
GGAUGUGGGGUGAUCUGGUUGAGCCAUCUGUCACCGCAUUGAUCACCAGGGUUGAUUUGGCUGAUCUGGCUGGCUAGGCGGGUGUCACCUUCCUCCCUCACUGCUCCACGUGCGUCCCUCCCGAAGCUGCAUGCUUGGGACGACCUUCCCCGAUAGAGGAGGACGGUUCUUCCGUCAAGGGUGUACGAGUAGCCGUGCUCCGCUGCUAGAACCUCCAAACAAGCUCCGUCAGCACACACCGAUUUCUGUAAAUAUCCAUCCUCCCCCACUCACUUUAUUAAGGUACAAAU